rnacentral:rRNA from 1 species
GACGAACGCUGGCGGCGUGCUUAACACAUGCAAGUCGAACGGUAAGGCCCUUCGGGGUACACGAGUGGCGAACGGGUGAGUAACACGUGGGUGAUCUGCCCUGCACUUCGGGAUAAGCCUGGGAAACUGGGUCUAAUACCGGAUAGGACCACUGCCUGCAUGGGUGGUGGUGGAAAGCUUUUGCGGUGUGGGAUGGGCCCGCGGCCUAUCAGCUUGUUGGUGGGGUGAUGGCCUACCAAGGCGACGACGGGUAGCCGGCCUGAGAGGGUGACCGGGCACACUGGGACUGGGAUACGGCCCAGACUCCUACGGGAGGCAGCAGUGGGGAAUAUUGCGCAAUGGGCGCAAGCCUGAUGCAGCGACGCCGCGUGAGGGAUGACGGCCUUCGGGUUGUAAACCUCUUUUAGUAGGGAAGAAGCGAAAGUGACGGUACCUGCAGAAAAAACACCGGCUAACUACGUGCCAGCAGCCGCCGUAA